UACGGAGGGUGCGAGCGUUGUCCGGAAUCAUUGGGCGUAAAGGGCGCGUAGGUGGCGCGGCAAGCGUGCGGUGAAAGCUCGGGGCUCAACCCCGAGUCGGCCGUGCGAACUGCUGUGCUUGAGCACUGUAGAGGCAGGCGGAAUUCCGGGUGUAGCGGUGGAAUGCGUAGAGAUCCGGAAGAACACCAGUGGCGAAGGCGGCCUGCUGGGCAGUUGCUGACGCUGAGGCGCGACAGCGUGGGGAGCAAACAGG
rnacentral:rRNA from 1 species